AAUACCCAAAACAGAGUUUAGACCAAAAGUUAAGCAAUAUCCUUUAAAAACAGAUGCACAGGAGGGUAUAAAACUAGAAAUUAAAGAUCUUAUUGUGGCAGGAGUCAUAGUGCAGUGUGAAAAUUCUUCAUGUAACACUCCUAUUUUUCCUGUUAAAAAAACAACUUGUAUAAGUGGGCUGCUAUAUUGAGCCAUGGCGUUUUUGCAUGUCUCAACUGGGGGGAUGGUAAGAUAGAUACAUUAACAUUACUCAAUAGAAACAGGCUCUAACUGAUAAGAGGCAUUGCUCCGAUAACAACAAAUUGUAGUAUGCAACCGAUUCUAGAUAGUUUCACAAUCAGUCUUUUUAAACUGACCAAAACUUUAGGAUAGAUAAAAUAUUAUUAAAUCUACAGGAAUUAUGGAUGAAUAAGA